rnacentral:rRNA from 1 species
CCUACGGGAGGCAGCAGUGAGGAAUAUUGGUCAAUGGACGAGAGUCUGAACCAGCCAAGUAGCGUGAAGGAUGACUGCCCUAUGGGUUGUAAACUUCUUUUAUAUGGGAAUAAAAUGUUCCACGUGUGGGAUUUUGUAUGUACCAUAUGAAUAAGGAUCGGCUAAAUCCGUGCCAGCAGCCGCGGUAAUACGGAGGAUCCGAGCGUUAUCCGGAUUUAUUGGGUUUAAAGGGAGCGUAGGUGGAUUGUUAAGUCAGUUGUGAAAGUUUGCGGCUCAACCGUAAAAUUGCAGUUGAAACUGGCAGUCUUGAGUACAGUAGAGGUGGGCGGAAUGCGUGGUGUAGCGGUGAAAUGCUUAGAUAUCACGAAGAACUCCGAUUGCGAAGGCAGUUCACUAGACUGCAACUGACACUGAGGCUCGAAAGUGUGGGUAUCAAACAGGAUUAGAUACCCCUGUAGUC